AUUGAACGCUGGCGGCAUGCCUUACACAUGCAAGUCGAACGUGAAAGGGGGGCAACCCCCGAGUAGAGUGGCGGACGGGUGAGUAACACAUCGGAACGUACCCAGUAGUGGGGACGAACCUCGAGAAAUCGAGGCUAAUACCGCAUACGACCCACGGGUGGAAAGCGGGGGACCGCAAGGCCUCGCGCUAUUGGAGCGGCCGAUGUCCGAUUAGCUUGUUGGCGGGGUAAGA
rnacentral:rRNA from 1 species